UGAUCCCUGGCUCAGAACGAACGCUGGCGGCAGGCUUAACACAUGCAAGUCGAGCGCCCCGCAAGGGGAGCGGCAGACGGGUGAGUAACACGUGGGAACGUACCCUUUACUACGGAAUAACGCAGGGAAACUUGUGCUAAUACCGUAUGUGCCCUUUUGGGGAAAGAUUUAUCGGUAAGGGAUCGGCCCGCGUUGGAUUAGCUAGUUGGUGGGGUAAAGGCCUACCAAGGCGACGAUCCAUAGCUGGUCUGAGAGGAUGAUCAGCCACAUUGGGACUGAGACACGGCCCAAACUCCUACGGGAGGCAGCAGUGGGGAAUAUUGGACAAUGGGCGCAAGCCUGAUCCAGCCAUGCCGCGUGAGUGAUGAAGGCCCUAGGGUUGUAAAGCUCUUUCACCGGAGAAGAUAAUGACGG
rnacentral:rRNA from 1 species